GUGACCCAGCUCCUGCUAUUCUGGGAUCCUGUUGUCCUAAGAUCCUGGGAGUGUUACAGUGCCUGGAAAUGGUGUCUCUUUUGAGGACUGUGGAGCUGUCUGGUCUGUUCAAAACCAAGGUAAACCAGAACUGAUCAAAAGGAACCUGAGUCUCUGGUCAGGAAGGACUCCAGUGUCCUUGUUCCUGCUGUCACAGGCCCAUCACAAUUGGAUUGGAACUGAUUUUGUGUUCUGCUCACCAGUAAUCCUAAGAUCGAGUGGAGAGUCCUCUAGGGACCAUGGAGGUGUAUGCAGACUCUGUGCCCAAGGGGACCCAGUGAUGGCACAGACCAGAAGAUACUUGUGCCCCUGGUCAGGCCUGUUUUCUGCUUCACUAAUGCUGUCUCAGGUCCAGUGCAAUUGGAUUGGAACUGAUGUUUUGUUCUACUCACCAGUCCUAAGAUCACAUGGAGAGUCCUUUGGGGACUGUGGGGGUGUCCACCGAUUCUGCAUCCAAGGAGACCUGGUGCUACUGCUGACCAGAAGGGCGGGUCUUUAUCAGGUUUUAGUAAGAUCAGAGUGCUGAUGUUUUAAACAUAUUUUUUUCUUGAGCUAUCAUUACACAUGUUAUGAAUUCACUGAUUUUUAAUGUUUCAGAAAUAACCUCCAAACCCAUUAACAGUGACAUCACAUUCUGUUGUCCAUUAACUAAUGGAAACCAUUAUUCAGUGUCUGGUCUAUGGGUUUUUCUGUCUGGAUACAUGACACAAGCAAUACUGUAUAACAUGAUUGUUUGUUAUCUGAUUCCUUUUUACUUACCACUGUGAUUAAGAUUCAUCCAAGUCUUUUCACCUAUCAGUGCUCAGUUUUAUUAUAUUUAAUAUUCCAUGUACAGCUGUAUCAGAUUUCGUUUAGGCAAUUAUCAGUUGAUAAAUAUUUACCUUUGACUUAUUAGCCUUAUAAAUAAUUCUGUGUGUAAGUUUGGCUUCAUAGAUAUUUUUCCAUGUCUCUUGGAUUAUGCUGGGCCACAUGUCAUCUUUAUGGUUACCAUUUUGAGAAAAUAUUGAAUUUACUAUUUUACAACCCUGCAGGAAAGUAUAAUAGAUUUAUUCUGGGUGUGGUGGUGCACAGCUUUAGUUUCAGCACUGAGGAAGGCAGAGUUUAUCUGAGAGAGGAGGUCUGUCUGAUCUAAGACCAAGUUCCAGGCCUGUAGGAUGCUAUAAAAAAAAACAAUACCAAAACUAAUUAGAUUCUCUAUAUUUUUGUCAAUAUUUAUUAUAAUAUUUGAAAUUUAACAAGUAUAUUAUUGCGUCCCACUAGACUGGCAAGAAAGACGCAACAAACUGGAAUCUUUUGCAGCACAAGCUUUAUUGCUUACUUCUUCAGGAAGACCCUGAACCAGUCUAGUCUAGUUUAUUUGAUCUACGUGCUCUCUUUCAGUAUUUUCCUAUUAUAAGUGCCUUUUAAGAUUGAAUUUUGACAUAUAAAGCCUUUUACCAGUGUUUUAACAGUCCUCGAACGUCCUUGAGCAAGGCAAUGGGCUUGAAAUUUAGUAAGAAUGUUGUUAAUCAGAAUAGCCUCUGGUACUACAUUAUCACUUUAAUAAAAGCUAGGUCACUCCCUUACACAGGAAUUUACCAUCACUAAGGAAGAAGGAAGUUUCAGACCAAAGGAGAAACCAGAAUAGAUACUUAGAACUAUAGCAAAGUUACACCCAUACACACAUAUUUACAAUGGCCUACAGGGAAGGUGGACUAUACAAUAGACUAAAAUAGGAACUAUGGCAAGGGCGCAAAGUCCUUGACCCUGGCUUCUAAGAUUAGUGAAUCUUAGGUAGAGCCCUUGUUGAUCCUAGUUGUUAUCAAUUCUAUCCCAGGUACUUCCCAUUAGACCUUUUAUGUUUGCAUUCCUCUGUUUUAUGUAAGAUUCUGGUUACCUCAUUUGUACCUUAUGAAUAUGUCACCCAACUUCUUGUUGUCUUCUGCAUAAAAAGUCUGAUACUUGAUUUG
rnacentral:lncRNA from 1 species